rnacentral:lncRNA from 1 species
GUAUCGAUACUAGGUUUUAUCGAAGGAAUAUCGUUUUGAGAGUAUCGAAGCGCUGUCCGAGUGCUGAGUCACCACCUACUCAAGUGAGUGCAUGGUCCCUUUCAUCUUACACAUAGAUAUGAAGUAUUUUAAUAUAAAUUACGUGCUAUGUGUGCAUAUUGUUUGAAUACUUGUUGUCUAUGCUGGAUGAAUGAUUUAUACAUGUUUUAAAUGAUUUAAACUGUAUAUUUAUUUUAUAUCUACAAAUAUGUUGGGAUAAAACAUGGGUAGAUGAAAUAGUUGGUGAGUGAUGAAAUAAAAUAAUGAGAGAUAGGUGAUGAUAGGAAGGUGAUGAAUAUUAGGUGAGGAUAGAUAGGUGAUUAUGAAUCAGUGAUGUAGGAUAAUACAACCUUGUCCGACAAUUUGGAGAUGUAGUUAUCUACCAGAGUAUAGAUGGCGACCACGGACUAUUAUAAACAACCCCGUGGAAACACCAGCAGGCUAGUAACCUGUAGGUGAUGAAUUACGAGUUCAGACAAUGUGGUAACUACGUAUUCAUGCGAUGAUAGUCUAACCCUUAUUAUGAAGUACGAGUCCAGGCGAUGUUGUGGCUACGUAUUCAUGUGAUGAUAGACUAAUCCUUAUCAUGAUUUACAAGUCCAGGCGAUGUUGUGACUGCGUAAUCAUGCUAUGAUACCCUAACUCUUGCUAGACACAUAUUGAGGGAGUAAUCCCCGGAUUAGUAUUGUCUAUGCAAUGUAGGCGAUGAUCCUUAGGUAAAGUUCGUAGGAACAAUCAAAUAAGGAAAUACGAUGUAAGGAGAUGAGAAGUAAAUAUGAUAUAGGAGAUGACCCUUGAGAUAAUAUCUUUAGGGAAGACUAAAAGAAGAUAAUGGGGAUGGGUAAUUGGGUUGAUUGUUUGAUUGUUUAAACAUAAUAACUAUAUUAUUGUGGGUUGAAAACCCUAUGUACUCACCAGGUUUCCCAACCUGACCCACUCAGUUUAUUUACAUCACAGGUGACGAUAUGAAGUGACAUUACACUGAGAGAUUUAAAGAGAUGUAGAUCACUAGUGUAAAUAAUUGUAAGUUCUGUUUAUGCUUAUGUUUCUGUAUUAACAAUGACAUCCCAAACGUUUUAAAAUGAAAUAAAUACGUUUCUUCGAAAAUGUUUUAAUAACGUAUUUAUCGUGUUUUUCUGGGAACAAAUUCCGCAACAUUUUUAUAAAAUGAAGUACUCUGAUUUUUAUAAAGCAUAAACAAAAUCGGUCUUUUCUGGCCGUGAUUUUGGGGAUGUCACAGUUGGUAUCAGAGCAUUAGUUUAAGCGAACUAGGAAUAUGGAUUUAUUUCUAGACUUAAACUUAGAAUGCUAAGCGAUGAUUGUGAGGUGUGAGCACUAGCUUAUUUUAGGAAUUAUGCCUAAAAUGCUUUUAUGUGCUAAAUGCUUUGUGCAUGAUAUGUUGUUAAUUGUUCGGAUCUAUGGUCUGUUGCCGACCGGAUCUGGAAACCUUAUGUGUUUAGGAUUCUAAACGUACGACUACGAUAUUAGAACUAGCAUGUAAACGUUUCGGAGUGAUAAGGAUGAUUUAAACGUCAAUCCUAAGUAAAGGUCUAGAUUCACCUCAUUAGGUGUAUAGAUCAAGAUGGUAAGAACCCGUAGCGGAAACGUGAAUGCAAAUGGGAACAGAAACCAACCCACAGUGAUUGAGCAAAUACCGGUGAUGGAAGCCGCUGCUAAGCUAGUCACAAUGGCCGGAGUGCAAGUGAUGAUCCAAGCGAUGUUGGAUCGUCAAAUGGAGGAAACCAGGCGUUUGCUCCAGCAAAAUCGAGAGGAAGCGAUCAUCCAGAUCGAACGGCCCGAGUUGAACGAGGGGAAGACUGAUGAGGGAAACUACAGUGGGACUGUUGGUCAAGCCAACCCACCAAUAGUUAGGCAAAACCACCAGGAUAGAGGAAAUGAUGGACAUGGAUGAAAAUACAAGGAUUUCAUGGCGUCAAAACCACCGAGUCUAUCUGGAAGCCCGACGCCGGUGGAAGUCAUAAACUGGAUCUCCGAGAUGGAGACGAUGUUUGAGAGUUGUGAGUGUAGCAACAGGCAAAAGACCGCUCUCGCGGUUCCUCUGUUGAAAUCUAGAGUACUAAGCUGGUGGAAGCUACUAGCUGAUUCAAUGCCCAAAGGAGACGCGAGCAAGAUGUCAUGGGAGGAUUUUCUGAUGCAGCUAAAAAUGCUGUACUGCUCUGAGCAGGAUCUACUAGAGAUCAACAACGAGUUUCAGAAUCUGAAGAAGGGAAAAAUGAGUGUCAUCGAGUAUCCUGCAAGUUUUACGAAGAAAAUGAAGCUUGUUCCUUAUCUAGUUCCAACUGAACUCUCCAAGGUCAAUAAGUUUGCCCAUGGAUUACCAGCAGACUUUGGUCCAAUGGUCAAACAAGCAACCACUUUGAAAGCCGCCAUCUGGGCAGCCAAGAAUGUUGAGACCCAAAUAAGGGAAAAGGGUCUGGAGAAAGUUGAAGUUGGUGAGAAGAGGAAGUCGGAAGGAUCCUCAAGACCUGAUAAUAAGGGAAAGUUCUCGAAGUCUAACCUGGACGACCGAAGGAAUGAAGCCAAGUGGUGUGAGAAGUGCAAGAAGAAGCACUUCGGAAGAUGCGAUGGUGAAGUGACGUGCUAUAAGUGUGGUAGGACCGGUCACUAUUCCAGAGAUUGUACAUUCGACAACAAGAAGUGCUACGAAUGUGGAAAUGAUGGGCAUAUUUCAAAGAACUGUCCAAAGAAAAACGAAGCUGCAAGACCAAAUGCACCGCCGAAACCAAGGGCAUUUCACAUGAUCCUCGACGAAGCAGAAAACCGUGCGAGGAAUCAAGGAUGAGGACUUCAUAUCCGAAGAUCAAGUUAUGCAGUAGCCAUAGUAUUGUAUGAUGUAGCCUAUUAGAGGCAUAGCCUAGGGUGAACUUGAACACCUAUGUAAUCAUUUCAAGAAAUAAUAUAAAACCUUUGUUUCGUUAUCUGAUGUGUUAAGUUGAUUCGCUGCAUGGUGACUUGGGAAACUGCGAGACAAUACUUGGGACGAGUAUGAGUAGGUGUGAAUGGUAGUAGAGGCCUAUACUACCGGAAGCACAGGACUCACACUUGGAUCAGGGAAAGUCACAAGGUUACCAAGAAGCUAGUAAUUGAUUUCGUUUUAUUCAAGUGUGUUGUUACCAUCGUUUCGGUAAUGACUAAGAAGAUUGUUGAUAUUCCGACCCUAGUGGUCAUAUCGAAUCGAGUCCGACUACGAUGAGUAUGUUGUGUGGUUCAGAGAACCAAGUUUGAUGUAGCGUCCGACUUAAACCAAACGGUUGAAAUCAAAGCGAUCAAUAGAAGUAUCGCACUCGUUGUUAAAGAAGUUGGUGGCUAGAAAUGCCUAAUGUUAAAGUGUGAUUAUAUCACAUUAGAACAUGAAGGAAGGCAUAGUCUGUUUUAGAAUUUAACUCUAAGAGACCUAAGUCUAAGUGUUACAACAUACGAGGAUAGGUCAUUAGAAUAUGACACAUCGAUCCAUAGUAGUAAUAAAAGAAAUCAUCUCAAGUUCGUAUCCAGUAAGGAUUGAGAUUGUGACUUGAAGGUCAUAAUUGGGAGUCUAGCCUGAGGUAGAGAGCAGGUGCACGAUCGAGUACUGCUUACAGUCAACAAGUAGGAGAGAUAGACUUGAAGGAAUACAGAAGUUAUAAUGAUUACCUAGGAUGAAAAGAUGACGUAUGGAGUUAUUAUACGAGCCCUGUUUUGUUGAUGAUUCCGGGACGUAAUCAUCCUAAGGGGGAGAUAAUUGUAACACCCGCAAAUCCGAGCUACCCAAAUUAGAGGCAAUAGGGGUCGAAAACGACUUUUCGACAAAAGAUUAUUUAGAAUAAAUAAUCUUAACCAAGUUAUAGUAUAUGUCACGAGGUUUCCGUACAUAUAAAGAACGCCGAAAUCCGAGUUAUAACGAAGAAGUUAUGGCCUGUCGAAGUUUCGCGACAAAACCGGCACGAUACCGGAAAGCGUAAAUAGUGAAUUUAUGAUAGAGCGAGAUUUAGCCUUAGCGAUCUAAACGAAAGUCGUAGAAUAUGUUAAACUAAGAACAUCGAUAAAAAGAACGCCCAAAUCUGACUUCGUAUGAAGAAGUUAUGAUUUUUCGAAGAUUCGGACUAGCAGUAUACAGCCCGAAAUUCGAAUAUUUGAUCGAACGGUUUUUAGCCGACACGACCUAAAUGAGACUCGAAGAUCUCGUUGAGAGUAGCAUAACGAGAAAAAGAUGGGCGAAAACGGAUGUCGGAUGAAGAAGUUAUGAGGAUUUAAACGGACCAAUCCUGCCCCGGCCCGUUAAUAAUAUAAAAUUUAAAAUCGAACCAAAAUUAGCCAACAAAGUCUAAACGAAAGUGGUAGAGUACGUUCCCACCUUCGCGUGGAUAUAAAGAACUUAAAAAACGGAGUUUGUAUGAGAAAGGUACGAAUUUUUAAAGAUUAAACUUGAAUUUGCGAAGCUAUUGCUAGAUGCGUUGACGUGGCUUGAUCUAGACCGUCCAUCGCUGAAGAAAGCCUCGCCUUGGAUGCAUGACACGCAACCCCUCGCAUACACCCAACGUUAGUAUCCGACGCCCCGCGCACGAGUACGCCUCGCGUACGAGAUCCGGAACGCCCCGCGUAACCUCGGUCUUAUCCCUUCCGAAUGCGAGACAGCUAGAAUCGAUGUGGCAGCCCCAUCCGAUGUUACGCCCCGCGUAGCCAAGGAUUACGCCCAGCGUAGUCCGAGGCCUCACAGGGUAUAAAAAGGGGCGAGGGCCUUCGCAUUUUUCACACAAUUCUCCUUCUCUCUCUAGAUUUCUUUCUCUCUCUGGGGUUUCUAACCCCCCCUAAGCCCUAGUUAAACCACUAGCACCCUAGGGAAGCCCCGAGGCUCCCAGAGUCCCGAGAAAAAGGAGUUUUUCGGUUUCGAGACACUGCUCCAAUUAAGUUCCGGUUUUCGAUAAAAUUCGCUGUAAGUGUGCUACUCUUACGCAAUUUUUUAUAUAGCUUUCAAAUAAUUAUAGGAAUGUUAUUAGGUCCUUAAAAUAAUUAUCUGGGCUAUUAUUAUGAGUUAUAUUGAGUGUUAUUAACGCUUAAUAAUACUCGGACUAAUGAAUUUGUCACGGUUAUCGUUAGACUAAACCCUAGUGGUAUCGAUACUAGGUUUUAUCGAAGGAAUAUUGUUUUGAGAGUAUCGAAGCGCUGUCCGAGUGCUGAGUCACCACCUAAUCAAGUGAGUGCAUGGUCCCUUUAAUCUUACACAUAGAUAUGAAGUAUUUUAAUAUAAGUUACGUGCUAUGUGUGCAUAUUGUUUGAAUACUUGUUGUCUAUGCUGGAUGAAUGAUUUAUACAUGUUUUAAAUGAUUUAAACUGUAUAUUUAUUUUAUAUCUACAAAUAUGUUGGGAUAAAACAUGGGUAGAUGAAAUAGUUGGUGAGUGAUGAAAUAAAAUAAUGAGAGAUAGGUGAUGAUAGGAAGAUGAUGAUAAUUAGGUGAGGAUAGAUAGGUGAUUAUGAAUCGGUGAUGUAGGAUACUACAACCUUGUCCGACAAUUUGGAGAUGUAGUCAUCUACUAG